rnacentral:hammerhead_ribozyme from 2 species
AAGCGAAACCCCGGCAUGCCGGGGUCAUCGGAGGGUGGUUCCGCCGAUCUGAUGAGCAGCCAAUU